AUACCUUUCUCGGCCUUUUGGCUAAGAUCAAGUGUAGUAUCUGUUCUUAUCAGUUUAAUAUCUGAUACGUGAGUCAUUGGCUCACAUGAUAUUAACUCAAUUUUUCUAGGGGAAGGCCCAUCAAGGUAGCUUGCUACCUCGGUCCUCGAGUGUUGCUUUGGUAUUGCACUAUUGCCUUGGCUUGGCACACCCCAC
rfam:Ipomoea nil DNA, scaffold: scaffold1834, cultivar: Tokyo-kokei standard.